rnacentral:rRNA from 1 species
UACGUAGGGUACAAGCGUUAAUCGGAAUUACUGGGCGUAAAGCGUGCGCAGGCGGUUCCGCAAGUCAGAUGUGAAAUCCCCGGGCUCAACCUGGGAACUGCAUUUGUGACUGCAUGGCUGGAGUGCGGCAGAGGGGGAUGGAAUUCCGCGUGUAGCAGUGAAAUGCGUAGAUAUGCGGAGGAACACCGAUGGCGAAGGCAAUCCCCUGGGCCUGCACUGACGCUCAUGCACGAAAGCGUGGGGAGCAAACAGG